UACGGGGGGAGCAAGCGUUGUUCGGAUUUACUGGGCGUAAAGGGCGCGUAGGCGGUCAGCACAAGUCAGUUGUGAAAUCUCCGGGCUUAACUCGGAAAGGUCAACUGAUACUGUGCGACUAGAGUGCAGAAGGGCAACUGGAAUUCUCGGUGUAGCGGUGAAAUGCGUAGAUAUCGUAAGGAAGACCAGUGGCGAAGGCGGGUCUCUGGACAGUCCUGACGCUGAGGCACGAAGGUCAGGGGGGAGCAAACGGG
rnacentral:rRNA from 1 species